CUGCUGAGGUGCCGAACUGAAGCUCCGUCGACUGGCGUUGCUGAGGUGCCGUCGUGCCGAACUGAAGCUCCAAGUUCAUCUCAUCUGUUAAUCUGCUACUGCCGUCUAGUAUUGCGGCUAAUGCCUACUUGAUAUUGUGAUAAUGACUUCAUCAAGUGCUUCGACUACUCAAAGUGUUGGAACUUCGGAUGCAUCCACACUUAAAAGGAGAUCAAAUGAUGUAGGAUGGGAUUAUGGUAUUUUAGUUGAUGCAAAAAAUUUGGAUAAAGUAAAAUGCUUGUUGUGUGGGAAAGUUUUAUCCGGUGGAGUGUAUAGAAUAAAAGAGCAUAUUGCUCAUAUACAAGGAAAUGUUGCUCCAUGUUCUAAAGCUACUAAGGAUGAUCAACUUAAGUGUAGGAAUGCAAUCAAUGAAGCUAAGAUGAGAAG